CGGACAGGCGGCGGAGGGAACC
rnacentral:misc_RNA from 1 species